UGGAUAAUGUCCUUUAAUGUAAGAUGUGUUUAUACGUAUUUUAUACACUCCAUGGUUUAUACUCAUUGAAAGAACAUGAAGGGAAGGGAAACGAGGCGAUUGUGACUUUAUGGGAGCAGUUUGUGGUGGGUUAUCAGCUGUUAGCUGUCAGACGGUCAGCUGUUGUGUGACCACUGGGCGGCUGAGCUGCCCGAAUCGGUCAUAAAGAUGGCGGCGUAAAGCUACAGUGACGUCAUGAGACACAAACGAAUAGGCUGUGUUUGGCUAGGCUAACAGU